rnacentral:tRNA from 1 species
GUUUUAAUAGUUGAAGUACAACGGUGGUUUUUCAAGUCGCAGGUUUUGGUUAAAUGUCCAAGUUAAAAUA